rnacentral:rRNA from 1 species
UACAGAGGGUGCGAGCGUUAAUCGGAAUUACUGGGCGUAAAGCGCGCGUAGGCGGCUUUGCAAGUCGGGUGUGAAAUCCCCAGGCUUAACCUGGGAACUGCAUUCGAGACUGCAUUGCUAGAGUAUGGGAGAGGGAAGCGGAAUUUCCGGUGUAGCGGUGAAAUGCGUAGAUAUCGGAAGGAACAUCAGUGGCGAAAGCGACUUCCUGGACCAAUACUGACGCUCAUGUGCGAAAGCGUGGGGAGCAAACAGG